rnacentral:rRNA from 1 species
GCUUAGAGUUUGAUCCUGGCUCAGAUUGAACGCUGGCGGCAUGCCUAACACAUGCAAGUCGAACGCGAAAGAGGGGAAACCCUUGAGUAGAGUGGCGGACGGGUGAGUAACGCGUAGGAAUCUGCCCAUUAGUGGGGGACAACCCGGCGAAAGCCGGGCUAAUACCGCAUACGCUCCCAGCCUUGGCGGGCUGGGAGGAAAGCAGGGGACCGCAAGGCCUUGCGCUAUUGGAUGAGCCUGCGUCCGAUUAGCUAGUUGGUGGGGUAAAGGCCCACCAAGGCGACGAUCGGUAGCUGGUCUGAGAGGACGAUCAGCCACACUGGGACUGAGACACGGCCCAGACUCCUACGGGAGGCAGCAGUGGGGAAUAUUGGACAAUGGGGGAAACCCUGAUCCAGCAAUGCCGCGUGUGUGAAGAAGGCCUUCGGGUUGUAAAGCACUUUCGAUGGGAAAGAAAAAGGCCAGGUGAAUAUCCUGGCCCUUGACGGUACCCAGAGAAGAAGCACCGGCUAACUCUGUGCCAGCAGCCGCGGUAAUACAGAGGGUGCAAGCGUUAAUCGGAAUCACUGGGCGUAAAGCGUGCGUAGGUGGUUUGAUAAGUCAGGUGUGAAAUCCCCGGGCUCAACCUGGAACUGCAUCUGAUACUGUCUGACUAGAGUCUGGUAGAGGGAAGCGGAAUUCCACAUGUAGCGGUGAAAUGCGUAGAUAUGUGGAGGAACACCAAUGGCGAAGGCAGCUUCCUGGACCAAGACUGACACUGAGGUACGAAAGCGUGGGGAGCAAACAGGAUUAGAUACCCUGGUAGUCCACGCCCUAAACGAUGGGUACUAGACGUUGGAAAGUUUAACUUUCUUGUGUCGCAGCUAACGCAAUAAGUACCCCGCCUGG